rnacentral:rRNA from 1 species
CCUACGGGAGGCAGCAGUAGGGAAUCUUUCACAAUGGGCGAAAGCCUGAUGGAGCAACGCCGCGUGCAGGAUGAAGGCCUUCGGGUUGUAAACUGCUUUUAUAAGCGAGAAAUAUGAUGGUAACUUAUGAAUAAGGAUCGGCUAACUACGUGCCAGCAGCCGCGGUCAUACGUAGGAUCCGAGCAUUAUCCGGAGUGACUGGGUGUAAAGAGUUGCGUAGGUGGCAUAAUAAGUAGCUAGGGAAAUCUGGUGGCUCAACCAUUCAGACUAUUAGCUAAACUGUUAAGCUCGAGACCGUUAGGGGUAACUGGAAUGGCUGGGGUAGGAGUGAAAUCCGUAGAUAUUAGAAAGAACACCGAUAGCGUAGGCAGGUUACUGGGACGGUUCUGACGCUAAGGCACGAAAGCGUAGGGAGCGAACGGGAUUAGAUACCCUGGUAGUC